rnacentral:lncRNA from 1 species
UUAUUAAAUAGACACUCUCUUUUAUAAAGCAGCCUCUUUUGGGUUGGCUCAGCAAGAGAACUGACUGAUGGGGGGCUUGCUCAGCACUUGAAUAGAUAUGAUUGAGUUUCUGAGCUUGCACACCUAGGGUGAGAUGCCAUGCCUGUGCUUUUCCCAGACAGCACACACUGUGGGAUGCCCUGCUGAAGUAGGGCAGACAAGCAGGAUCUUCUAGUCUCUUGUAGCCAAGGCCUCUCUCCUGAAGUUUAUGCCCAGGUCUGUGAUACACCUGCUGGAUGUUCAUACUUGGGAUGGAUGGGUCAUCUCCCUUUUGAUUUGACAUAGUCCUUAAUCAGCCAUCUUUCUUUGGUCCAAUUAGGUUUGGUCAUGGUAGUAGGAUUGACUUGCUUGAAAUA